UCCAGCUUAUCGCUGGCGGUCUCCUGCGAGUUCCCAACUGAAUGAUGGCAACACAGGACAAGGGUUGCGCUCGUUGCGGGACUUAACCCAACAUCUCACGACACGAGCUGACGACAACCAUGCACCACCUGUCACUCUGUCCCCCGAAGGCGAACGUCCUAUCUCUAGGAGUGUCAGAGGAUGUCAAGACCUGGUAAGGUUCUUCGCGUUGCUUCGAAUUAAACCACAUGCUACACCGCUUGUGCGGGUCCCCGUCAAUUCCUUUGAGUUUUAGCCUUGCGGCCGUACUCCCCAGGCGGGGUGCUUAAUGCGUUAGCUUCGGCACGGAUGGGGUCGAUGUCCACCCACACCUAGCACCCAACGUUUACGGCUAGGACUAC
rnacentral:misc_RNA from 1 species